rnacentral:misc_RNA from 1 species
CAGCCAUUGCCUUGGUUAGAGUCCUGCUGCCGUCAACUAGCUGAGCAAAGUCGACAGACUCUAUUGGAGAUACGUUGAGAUCAGGGAUACCAUUUGGGCCCACAUCGCCUUUGAUCAUGCUCAUGCUCAAUCCGCUUCUUGAUGGAAACAAUGACAGUGCUUGAUCAUACGGGAAUGGAUAACUCUCAGCUGUUCCAGCUUUAUUAGCAGUCUUAUCCAUGAUCAAAGAUCGCUGAUCAACCACCAAAUGUAGAUGAUGACCUUCGUAUCCAACUACAGUAGAUGCUUUCACUGUGGAUUGC